rnacentral:lncRNA from 1 species
UCUACCAUUCGGGUACAUGCUAAUAAAAUGGUGGAAAAGGGUUCGGGUGCAUGCUAAUAAACUAAGCCAUCUAAUAUUUAAGAAAAAUAAAUUUUCUUAAGCCAUCUUAUUUCUUAAGCUCUUACUUUUGGAGCAACAACAUUAUAUAUCAUAGAUCUAAGAAACAUGUUACAUGAAAGUAUUUGAAAAAAUUUACUAGCUUGUUCUUUAUUGAUGAAAUGGUCAAAGAAAAUGAAAACAACCAAUUUGAAAAAGUGAGCUAGCCAUUGAAUAGCUUAAAAAUUUAUAGUAAGCUAAUGAAAUAUGUAUAUUGAAGUCUAAUUAAUAUUAAAACUAGAUCUGUGAAAAAUGAAAGGAAAAUUGGUAGUUCACACGUCAAAUAAUAACAAUAACUGUACAUAGUGCCCUUGUGUUUAGAAAUUGCUCUAGGACUUGGUGGUUAAGAAAUGGGUUCUGAAAUUGUUAGGCAAAAAUCUGAACCACCCGGUGAACGUAGCAGGUUAUGGGUUCAUAAGGACAUCAAUCAUGUACUAAAAACAAAUUAGGUAAGACCAAAAUGCAUCAACUCUAUUUUUUCACGUUUACAAAUUUUUUUGUUAUUCCUCAACAAAAAUGCAUCAACUCUCUUUUUUCACGUUUCCAAAAAUGCAUCAACAAAUACACGUUACAUUGGGAAAAAGUUUUGUUAUUCCUCAUUCGUCCUCUCACACUUGAUAAACUAACCCCCACCAAUAUACACAUAAGAUAUCAACGUUCCACAAGAUAUUGGGUCAUAAUAAUGACUAUUUUGGGAUAAUCACCUAAGGGUAAGUAAUACUCCGUGUCUUCUGGGACUCAUAUCCAAGGGCAGGACCAACACCAUGUCUUUAGGUACUAAAACCCAAGGGUAGGAUCAACUCCAUACACCUACAUCGAAGUGUCUUCUUCGAGGGCUUCAGGGACUUUCACCUAAUGAUCCACAGUCCCACAUAAACAAUAUAACAAAAUACCCAUCACGAUGACGAUAAUCAAUUUUAUAGUAAUAAAGUUUUUGGAUUAUAUGUAUUGAUUCAUGCCCAGUCGGGUGUUUAUCAAAACAUUUAUAAAACCUACAACACCUUAUACUAGGGUAGCAAAGACAAAGCUACUAUAGCAUAGUGGCUCUAGGAUCGUCCACAGGGAUGGGUUUUCUUUGUACACUUAACAUUAAUGAAAUGAGAAAUGGUGAUUUCCUUUUUGGAAAGUUAGUUUUUAAUGAAAAUAAGAUUGAUUGGAAAGGUUGAUUUUAAGUUAACUAAACAUAAACAACUGAAAUUACUACAAAAAGAGUCUCUUGGAGCUAUAGGUUACUAGGAUCAAGUUCCUGUUGCAAAGUGGGAAAUUCUGGAUCUUCUCCUCGCAUUGGGGACAAUAACAUAAAGGAUGGUUAUCUCCCGAACCGGAUUUGUAUUUAGCAAAUAAGUUUUGAUCCAAAGGGUUCUUGAAAAAUGGUAGUUGCUUCCCAUUAAUGGCUUCAAACACUAAAGACCCUCACCUUGAACCACCUUCCAAUGGCUCGUACUUGAUAACUAAUGGACAUCCAUGGAUCUAGCAAUAAGCAUCCAUAGAAUCCUAAAAGCUUACCAAGUAUUGGCCAUUCAAGGUGAUUCUAAGGGAUUAAAGCUGAAACUUGAAAUACAAACCAUUAAUGAUACACAAAUACCUUCGUUUAAAGCAAGGAAAACUCCCACCUUUGCAUCUGGAUCCUUUACCUAGCUUCCAUCACUCCAAGAAACGUGAAACUUAGCCACUCAUCCUCUGAGAAAUCAUCCUCAGCGGGUGUUUGGCUAGAGAGAAAGUGAAAAGAAAAUGAGAAGGAAAGGCAGAGAAAACACUCAACUUUUCAAAAUAUCUAAAACAUAAUAUCUAACAUAACAUGAUAUGUUUUGAGAGGUUUUCUAACCCCUAUUUAUAGUUCCUAAACAAACCCUCAUGUCAUUUAUCUAUUACAAAAGGAUUAAAAAGGAAAAAUUACAGUUCUAGAGAAAAAUCUCGUAGAUCGAUGCGCACAAAGUGAUUUUCGCACACCUUGUGAAAUUUUGGCACACCCUGCGAAAGUUUGGUACACCUUGCCAAAAUUUGGCACACCCUGCGAAUUUUGGCACAUCUUGCCAAAAUUUGGUACACCUUGCGAAUUUUGGCACACCUUGCGAAUUUCAUGAUUUUGCCUUGCGAAAUGCUUUGUUUCCCUCCAUCUUACUACUGAUAGCUUUGCCAACCCCUUUUCAAGUUUGGCAAGGGGUUUUGAAGUGCUCCAAAGCUCGGAUUCUUCAUGUGAUUGAUCUUCAACUUGCCUUGCCAAAGCUUGCACACAACUCUCCCUCAAUCUUGGCUUGUUUCAGUGGUAAAAAAGCUACCAAAAACACUAAAACUUACCAGAAAUUGGUUAGUAACAUUUGCUAGGUCCUUAACAUGUCAAAUGGGAUAUAAAGGUGUAACUACUACUCAAGAGUGCUUAGUACAAUUAAGUUUAAGCUUAUAAAAAUGCACUUUUUGAGUAGUAAUCAUGUAUUAUUUAAUAUAUAUACAAAUUAUUUUUAUAUGUUGAACUAAUAUAUAUAUUUUUUUAAAAUUUGAAAUAUUUUAAUUAUGAAUAUUAUUAAUAAAUAAAUAAUUUCAAAUUUAAAAUUAUUGAACAAUUUCUAAAUAAUAUUGACAUGAGAGAGAUUUCAUAUUUAUUUAAUAACAAAUAUUAAAAUGCAAUAUAAUUUUUAUUUUAAGCAAACAUUAAAUAAUAUAUAUAUAUAUAUAUAUAUAUGUAUGUAUAUAUAUAUUAAUAUGUUUUUCAUUUCAUUUAUUUUAUUCACUUUACACAAAAAAUAUAAAUAUAACAUAUUUUAAUAUAGAACCUUAAUAUCAUGUUAACGAGAUAUAAUAUCCAAGGUAUCCAAUAGGAUAUGCUAUCACGGGUUAUAUUUUGAAACAAAGGUUAGAAACCAUAUUUGGAAACUGUAAUUUCAUUACAUAUCUUAAAACUAUGAUUUCUAAUUUCUAUAGUAGUUAUAUUUUCAAAAUAUAAAUUAUUUAAAAAAAAUUAAAUUCGUUUGAACAUUCAAAAUCUAUAAACUCAAAAGAACAAUCACAUCCCAAAGUGAUCUCACCCACUCUCAUACAAGGUUGGCAUUUAGACUCACCAAAAUCAGCCUAACAUACGUUGAUACAACCUCUGCAAUCAUGUCUCAACAAAAACAUGGUUAGUAACACCUGCACCCCAGAGAGUACGAAGGAAGAGUAGACUGAAACAUCACCAUGCAUGGAAAAUGAGUUUUAAAUUUUUAACAACCACCAAUGAACUACAAAGGAAAACAACACAUUAAGGCAAAACCUAGAGACUUUGGCAUAGGAGGGAGGCAUACAUAUGUAUGACCUUUCAUGGGCAACAAAGAACCAACAGUUGCCAUAAAUAUUCAUUUAUUAUUAAUAUAUUUCGCCGUUUAAAGGGGCUCAUGCAUCAUGGGGCAUGUUUGAAUCUCUUGGAAAACUAAGAUUCAGAUUCAAUCCAAAUCUAAGAGAAAUUCUAUGGACGAAAAAAUUGGGGGACAGUACAUUUGGGAAUGCCCCCCAUCUUCACAGAUGAAGAAGGCCUUCUGCCCCCAUAAUUAAAGGCACUGAUGAAAAGUUAAUACUGCCCCUUCAUUCCACAAAACCAGUUGCUUUUCUAGCAUGGAUGGUUUCGUCUUUCACACCAGGCCAAGAGCCACCUUCCACAGAAUAAUAACAAUACCAUAGAUCUUCUGCUAGAAAUUAAGAAUAGAAGAACAUAUAUACUGAUCAAGGAAUCCAAAUGUAAAAUGUAAAAGACAAAAAAGAGAGAAUAAAACUUCAAGAUUGAUGUUUAUUGAAUCUCUGAGAUCGAAUCAAUUCCAUUCUUGAAGAUGGCAUAACACCUUGAUUACAAAAGAACCUAGGUGCAGCAAAGUUGGAAUUGUACAACCGCCUCUUUUUUCCCGGUCUGUACUGGAUUGAUUAUCCUUCUUUCAUCGCUUGCAACUUCAACUUUACAGCAUCAUCAAGGUCUCUUGGACCAUUUUCCCUACAAACAAACAUCUCAACCACAAAAGAAACAAAGAAUGUAACAGCAGCCAAACCUAAAUUAACUUAUAACAAAUCUGCAGUGCUUCAGGCUCCAGCUAGCAUCACCAUUACCGGCUUCAUGGUUUGAAGCCUCACCAUUCUGGAUAUAGUAUAGAUGAUCAAGAAGAUUCACUUUCUUUCAUCCCUGGAAGGUUUCAUGAGCCUUGAAAGCAAACUAGCAAGAAUUUUAGGAGGAAUCAGCACCUCAAACUCUUCAAAUUGGAGUCUUCUGGGGACCUUCGAUAUCCUCCGCUACAUUGGGAUUGCUAGUGUUACUGUUGGCUUUCUUGGUGCAGGUGGGCAUUCUGUGAUGGCUGGGAUUUUAUGUUCCAUGGUUGUCGGGGUUCUGAAGCCUUCGUUUUACUCCACUGCACUCAAUUCUCCUAAUGAUGGCCUCCCCGGUUCCUGAGAAGAAACUGUGUUGUCGACGUGAUUGUCUCCUCCUUUUUCUUGUAUCGGCUCUGGAUCAUGGAUAUUGCCUUGUGCUUCUUGUUCAUGUUCUUGUUCUUGAAGAUGAUGAUCAGUACUGGGCUGAUCUUGAAACUGUGACAUUUUUCUCAUCAACAAUUCAGCCACCUCGAUCUUUUCUUUUAGCUUCUGAUCAGCAUAUGCUGGAAGGAGAGAAAAAGAGAGAAAGCAAUGAGGAAGUUUGGAAGAGAGAAAGAAGGUACGUUACAAGACCCCAGAUGAAUUCUCCUCUCAUAUAUACAAUCAUGAAAAUGAAAACACCGUGAUCUUUUCUGUUGCUUGAGCGAUCUUCUCUCGUCUUCUUUGGUUGGUUUUUCUCUGCACCUUUUCUAGAGAGAGAAAGAGACAGACGGACAGAGAGAGAGCAGGUGGUGAAGGUGGAACCUUUCAAACCCACCCUCGGCGAAGGAUCCAAAUCCAUACAUACACUGAUCGGUGAUCUCUCCCCUCUCAAUCACUCCCUUUAUACGCCGAGUUGAAAGGGGUUUCCUCCAUUUCCUCAUCUCUCUCUCUCCCUCUGUCCCUUUCUCUCCAGAAUUUAGGAAGAUAAAAUGUAGCUAUCAGGAGAGAGUUGGCUUUUCUUUUCCUUUCUUUUCCUUUUCUUUUUUCCUCCUCUGAUCUCACUAUCGACGUGGUUUGCUAUCGGGGACCUCCCUUUUCACACACACACACACUUGGCUUUUCUUUUCCUUUUCUUUUUUCCUCCUCUGAUCUCACUAUUCACGUGGUUUGCAAUCGGGGACCUCCCUUUUCACACACACACACACACUUGGCUUUUCUUUUCCUUUUCUUUUUUCCUCCUCUGAUCUCACUAUCCACGUGGUUUGCUAUCGGGGACCACACACACACACACACACACAUAUAUCUGAUAUACACCUUCCACCCUGAAACUACUCUACUACUCCAUCUCCUACACUUCCCCUUUGCUCCGUCACCCAUUUCCCCAACCUUUAUACCCACUAAGCUCAUCACCAUACCUUCAGCUUAUCUCCCAUGCCAUACACACCACCAUCAACCUAACCCACUUCAUCAUGCCCACCAAACACUGCUCUUUCUUACACAACAUUGACCAACUGUUUGAGACCUCCAGUAUGCAUGCCAAGUCUCAACCCCAUGCACGAGCCAAUUCCCCAUCUUCGUUACAUAAGUGAGCAUAAGGUGUCGUCCCAACUGCCAUGCCCUUGGCAUUUCCAAGCACAUCAGCAUUCUUCACAAACGUACCAGCAGGUCAAGUUUUUCGCAAACAAGUUAAUAACCACUUUAUUAAAUAAUGUGAAAACCAGAUGACAAAGAAGUUAUAUUCACACACAGUGAAGAAGUCUUUUCCUAAGAGCUCUCUUUCAAAAGUGUUUUUGAGAACAAUUUUUAAAAAUUAUUUUCCAAUAUUUUGUAAAAUAAAAAUCUAUUUAGAAUAUGAAAUAUUUUAAUUUUUAUAUGCGAUACUUUAUUUUUAAUUAUUCUCGAUAUUUAUAUAAUUAUGUUUUAAAAUAAUCCUUAAAAAACAAAUGAAAACAAAUAGGCUCUUUGAAAACACUUUAAUUUAUGUUUUCAAUGACAAAAAAUUGAUUCCUGUUUUUUAAUUGUCAAAUGUGUUUUCUUGUUUUUUAUUUUUAUUUUGUAGAAUAACAAAUUGUUUUAAAAAAAUAAUUGAUAAACAAGGUCUUAAUUUUCACGGGUAAGAAAUUUUGAUGUGAUGAGUAUGAGUGUGCACUUAAUUGAAAUAAAUAUGAUAACUCCUUGAACCAAUUAGGAAAAUGAUUCUUUUCCAAUGCAUCCGAAUGAUUAAUAUUAAGAGAAGUUGCUGCUCUAUUGAAAUUGAGAGAAAUUAUUUCUAACAGUGGUUGUACUAUUUCUCUCAUCUUGUAUUUAUCCAUUUGUUUUCAUUUUCAUCCUUUGAGAAAUGGUAUUCAUUUUCUCUUAUCGACUUUAGCAUUUGAACCAUAUUUUACCAUGAAAACUCACUUUGGCACUAACUUGUAGAUCGAAAAUAAGAAAAAGAUUGAUCCAUUUAUGAGGAUCAAUCUGAAGUGGUAUAAGCUAAUUCAAGGGUGGAUACAAAGGCCAUGGUUGUAUUAAUUUAUAAGCUUGUUCUAGCCUAAGAAUGUUAUUUCCUCACAUUCAUCCUUUGCGAUAAUUUCCUUAGUCAUCCCACAAUGCCCACAUGCUUCUAGUUUCCAAGUUUCACUUGCUCUUACAUUAUGCCAUCGCUCCUACAAUCAUUCCCUCAAGUGCUUCAAAUUAAUCCGUCCUUUUUUCUCAACGUUUGUAAUGUAAUAUUUAGUGAACUACAAUCAGCUAUAAGCAUGAUGUACAAGUGAAGUUAACAAUUCAUUUCAUGAGGAAUCUAUGAAUGUGCGAAAGAGAAAGAUUUUGUCUGAGAAGUAUUUUUAAAAACAAUUUUUUUAAAAAUAAUUUAACAACAAUGUUUCUUAAAUAUUUUUUGAUGUUUUGUAAAAUAAAAAUCUAUUUAAAAACUUAGAAAUAUUCAUAACUUAUAUAUAUUUUUAAAUAUGUUUUAAAAAUAACUUUUAUUUUUAAUUAUUAUUCAUCUUUGUAAAAUUAUGUUUAAAAUAACAUUAAGAAAAUAACAAAAAAUUAUUAAAAUAUAUUUUCUAAAAAUAUCAUGUUUUCUAAAAAUAUUAAAAUAAUUUUUUAUUUUAAAAAUAGAAAAUUAUUUUAUAUUUUCUAAAUAUAAAACAUAUAUAUAUAUAUAUAUAUAUAUAUAUAUAUAUAUAUAUAUAUUUUUGUUAUAAAAAAUAAAAAAUGUAUAUUGAAGUCUAAUAAAUAUUAAAACUAGAUUUGUCAAAAAUGAAAGGAAAAUUGGUAGUUCACACGUCAAAUAAUAACAAUAACUGUACAUAGUGCCCUUGUGUUUAGAAGUUGCUCUAGGACUUGGUGGUUAAGAAAUGGGUUCUGAAAUUGUUAGGCAAAAAUCUGAACCACCCGGUGAAUGUAGCAGGUUAUGGGUUCAUAAGGACAUCAAUCAUGUACCAAAAACAAAUUAGGUAAGACCAAAAUGCAUCAACUCUCUUUUUUCACGUUUACAAAAAUGCAUCAACAAAUACACGUUUCAUUGGAAAAAAGUUUUGUUAUUCCUCACUCGUCCUCUCACACUUGAUAAACUAACCCCCACCAAUAUACACAUAAGAUAUCAACGUUCCACAAGAUAUUGGGUCAUAAUAAUGACUAUUUUGGGAUAAUCACCUAAGGGUAAGUAAUACUCCGUGUCUUCUGGGACUCAUAUCCAAGGGCAGGACCAACACCAUGUCUUUAGGUACUAAAACCCAAGGGUAGGAUCAACUCCAUACACCUACAUCGAAGUGUCUUCUUCGAGGGCUUCAGGGACUUUCACCUAAUGAUCCAUAGUCCCACAUCAACAAUAUAACAAAAUACCCAUCACGGUGACGAUAAUCAAUUUUAUAGUAAUAAAGUUUUUGGAUUAUAUGUAUUGAUUCAUGCCCAGUCGGGUGUUUAUCAAAACAUUUAUAAAACCUACAACACCUUAUACUAGGGUAGCAAAGACAAAGCUACUAUAGCAUAGUGGCUCUAGGAUCGUCCACAGGGAUGGGUUUUCUUUGUACACUUAACAUUAAUGAAAUGAGAAAUGGUGAUUUCCUUUUUGGAAAGUUAGUUUUUAAUGAAAAUAAGAUUGAUUGGAAAGGUUGAUUUUAAGUUAACUAAAUAUAAACAACUGAAAUUACUACAAAAAGAGUCUCUUGGAGCUAUAGGUUACUAGGAUCAAGUUCCUGUUGCAAAGUGGGAAAUUCCGGAUCUUCUCCUCGCAUUGGGGACAAUAACAUAAAGGAUGGUUAUCUCCCGAACCGGAUUUGUAUUUAGCAAAUAAGUUUUGAUCCCAAGGGUUCUUGAAAAAUGGUAGUUGCUUCCCAUUAAUGGCUUCAAACACUAAAGACCCUCACCUUGAACCACCUUCCAAUGGCUCGUACUUGAUAACUAAUGGACAUCCAUGGAUCUAGCAAUAAGCAUCCAUAGAAUCCUAAAAGCUUACCAAGUAUUGGCCAUUCAAGGUGAUUCUAAGGGAUUAAAGCUGAAACUUGAAAUACAAACCAUUAAUGAUACACAACUACCUUCGUUUAAAGCAAGGAAAACUCCCACCUUUGCAUCUGGAUCCUUUACCUAGCUUCCAUCACUCCAAGAAACGUGAAACUUAGCCACUCAUCCUCUGAGAAAUCAUCCUCAGAGGGUGUUUGGCUAGAGAGAAAGUGAAAAGAAAAUGAGAAGGAAAGGCAGAGAAAACACUCAACUUUUCAAAAUAUCUAAAACAUAAUAUCUAACAUAACAUGAUAUGUUUUGAGAGGUUUUCUAACCCCUAUUUAUAGUUCCUAAACAAACCCUCAUGUCAUUUAUCUAUUACAAAAGCAUUAAAAAGGAAAAAUUACAGUUCUAGAGAAAAAUCUCGUAGGUCGGUGCGCACAAAGUGAUUUUCGCACACCCUAUGAAAUUUUGGCACACCCUGCGAAAGUUUGGCACACCCUGCGAAUUUUGGCACAUCUUGCCAAAAUUUGGCACACCUUGCGAAUUUUGGCACACCUUGCGAAUUUGAUGAUUUUGCCUUGCGAAAUGCUUUGUUCCCCUCCAUCUUACUACUGAUAGCUUUGCCAACCCCUUUUCAAGUUUGGCAAGGGGUUUUCAAGUGCUCCAAAGCUCGGAUUCUUCAUGUGAUUGAUCUUCAACUUGCC